rnacentral:rRNA from 1 species
CUGAGUACAGUGGCGUACGGGUGAGUAACACGUGGAUAAUCUACCUUCUAGUGGGGAAUAACCCUGGGAAACCGGGGCUUAAUACCGCAUGAGCUCGAGAGAGGAAAGCAGCAAUGCGCUGGAAGAGGAGUCCGCGGCCGAUUAGCUAGUUGGCAGGGUAAGAGCCUACCAAGGCAUCGAUCGGUAGCCGGCCUGAGAGGGCACACGGCCACACUGGCACUGAAACACGGGCCAGACUCCUACGGGAGGCAGCAGUGGGGAAUCUUGCACAAUGGGGGAAACCCUGAUGCAGCGACGCCGCGUGAGCGAUGAAGCCCUUCGGGGUGUAAAGCUCUUUCGGCAGGGAAGAUGAUGACGGUACCUGCAGAAGCAGCUGCGGCUAACUACGUGCCAGCAGCCGCGGUAAUACGUAGGCAGCGAGCGUUGUUCGGAGUUACUGGGCGUAAAGGGUGUGUAGGCGGUUGUUUAAGUUUGGUGUGAAAUCUCCCGGCUCAACUGGGAGGGUGCGCCGAAUACUGAAUGACUUGGAGUGCGGGAGAGGAAAGUGGAAUUCCUGGUGUAGCGGUGAAAUGCGUAGAUAUCAGGAGGAACACCGGUGGUGUAGACGGCUUUCUGGACCGUAACUGACGCUGAGACACGAAAGCGUGGGUACA